CAGGCCGAACAGGUUGCGAUCGCUGUUGCGCUCACCGACGACAAUCUUUCCCAUAUCUACAGCGACUCCAUAGCCGCUAUCAGAGCUUUCCAGAAGGGCACGGUCUGCGCACAGGCUCUCAAAAUUGUUUCAAAGAAAGAGAUUAAGAAACACUUCAUAUACUGGUUCCCGGCAUACCUAGGACCAAAGCUCGGCGACGUCCCCAACCUUAACGAGGCGGCACACGAGGCUGCGCGCGCGCUUACAGACAGCGCGGCUUCACCCGACCACUCGGAGAAUAAGGACGCGCCCACUACAUACAACGAAGUCGCUAAAUACUACUACCUACAACGCAGACAAUAUAGCACGCCACACCGCACGCUCACUCGAGCUCAAGCGGUUACACUCAGAAUGCUACAAACAGACACAUACCCCACUCAAAACAGAUUGCACCAUUACAUGCCUGAGCUCUACAAGUCUUAUUGCACCAAUUGCAAUACAUCCCUUAACGUUUAUCAUUUACUCUGGCCGUGCUCGCAAGCUCACGUAAACUACGAACAGGAGAAGCGCAAGUUUGAAGAGGCAAUCCGGAGCGAAGAACGCGCUCCCCAACUCUGGGCCGUCCAGCAGGUCCACGACGCCGCCAGGAAACUCAACCUCCCGGUUCCGUCGUGGGAGACGCCCACUCCAUGAGAGCCCAAAGCUCUCGUGGCCUGCAGGACCUGAAUAAAGUUGAUUUCCUUCCUUCCUUGUCGAGAAGUUAAAAGAGGGAUGUGUGGGCAUUCUAACAAGCAAUUGUCUUAUGUUUUGCAUCUAUGAAAAUUUUCGCAAAUUCUUCUAUUGAUCGCUUAAAUUACUCAGUGCAUGCGCACGUUCAUCCAUUCAUCCAUCAAAUCUUCCAUCAUAUUCAUCCACUUACAAUUUUUAUGAGAAGUGAGGAUGGGAUGCACUCUGUUUCUUUUUUUUUUUUUUCGGGGCAAGGAGUUCUCGUAAAUUCGUGUCAUCAUCAUCAUCAGCCUAUAUUAUGUCCACUGGAGUACGAAGGCCUCUCCGUGCGAUCUCCAAUUAUCUCAAUUCUGCGCCAACCGAUUCGAACUAGCACCUGCGAAUUUCCUAAUUUCAUCGCUCCACUUAUUCAUUUGUCGUCCUCGAUUGCGUUUCCCUUCUCUUGGUACCCAUUCUGUAGCCCUAAUGGUCCCACCGUUAUCUAACCGGCGCAUUACAUGACCGGCAGUGUGCCAUUUUUUCCGUUAAUGUCAAUUAGCAUAUCGGCUAUGCCCGUUUGCUCUCUGAUCCAAACAGCUCUUUUUCUGCCUCUCAAGGUUCUGCCUAGCAUUCUUCGUUCCAUUCCUUUUUGUGCGGUCCUUAACGUGUUCUCAACCUUCUUUGUCAGUCUCCAAGUCUCUGCCCCACAUGUCAGCACCGGCAAAAUGCAAUGAUUAUACACCUUCCUUUUCAAUGAUAAUGGUAAGCUUCCAAUCAGGAGCCGACAAUGUCUGCCGUAUGAAAUCCAACCCGUUUUUAUUCUUCUAUGAAGUUCCUUCUCAUUAUCAGGGUUCCCAGUAAUUAUUUGAGAGCUAGUUUAAUGUACUCUUUCACAGACUGUAGAGGUUCACUGGCGAUCCUAAACUCUUGUUCCUUUCCCCGGUUGUGCAUCAUUAUCUUUGUCUAUAUAUGUGCAUUUGCAGUGGUAGUGGUAAGUGCAUCCUUUUACGAGGAAGCUUUAGCUCGGGCGCAACUCCGACGCUGCCUAUUCAUAUACAAGUGAAACGCAAAAACGUUUUUCUGAAAUAACCCCUGGACCGAUUUUUAUGAAAUUUGUUGCAUUUGAGAGAGAAAGUUAAAUUCUAGAGACUGUUGGAAGCGGAAUUUCUAUUUACGGCCUGAAUUUUGUUAAAAAGCUUUUCAAAUAUACAGAAGUUUGAAAAAAAAAAAUAGAAGCCCGAAGUUUACAAACUAAUAGCUCUGCAUCAGGAACAGAUAUCGCGGUUCUGUAAACAACAUCCAUUAUAUCAUUCAAAGCGGACAAAUUUAAUGUGUCAAUUUAUAUCCUACGUGAAUUUAUUACGAUGUGUACAAGGGUUCUGCAUAAGCUAUAUUUCCACAUUACUAGAUUUUCUUAGAUUCAUGUGUAACAUAUCAAAUUUGUCUGCUUUAGAUGUACUAUUAGAUACCAUUCACAAAAUUGCGGUAUCAUUUUUUUCUUGCUGAGUUACGAAGUUGUAAACAUGAUGAUUUCAUUUUGUGAAAUUUUGCGUGUUUUCACAAUUUUUUAUAAAAGAUUGAUGACCUGAAUCGAAAAUUUGAAACCAACAGUCACUAGAUAUUAAGUUUUUCUUUUAAAUUCAGCAAACCUCGUCAAAUUUUGUGCUUUGGUCGCCGAGAAAAACUAAUUCUCCUUUUGCAUGUAUUUAGACAGUAACACACGAGCUAAAGCUUCCUCUUAAAGCUUCUUAGAGAAAUAAGAAGAGGUCUGGGCGAAAACUUUAUUGGUCUGUAAUUGUGCAUCAAAGUUUCUUUGCUUUAUUAUGCGCUUUUUGUGUACGUCAAGUGGGAGUAAUCUUGUAAAACCAUAUCAGCAGUGUUUUGCUGAUGCGCAAUAUUAAAUUUCGCACGACGAGGCUGUUCGCAGUUGAAAAUCAUGUUUCUCUUUUCAGGCGUGUGUGUGUAUAUAUAUGUUCAAGCAACCUUAUGCUUUCUGGUCCUUUGGACUACGUGACGUAAAGCAUCACAAUGGGGCUCUGCUCUUUCAAUGAGAUGUAGACGCACUGUGGGAGUUACGUCAGCAUUGUGUCAUUCCAUUCUUGAUUUGGAGGUACUGUUAAAGUAGAGCACCAAGAAUAACUUAUUUAUUCUGGUUUCUUCAUAUUUCAAACGCGCAAAUAGAUUUGAGUUGGCAGUGCCAGGAGGUCCUGGCAUUGGGUAGUUUUGGGUUGCUAUUUUAAUUUUCUUUCUUUUCUGUGCAGAUCUGCUUGUCCCACGAGACAGGCUAUUCGUUCUGCAACUGAAAAUUACUAGGUCCACCUCGCUCCUGCAGCAGCGAAGCGAACAGCAUCCGCAGGCGCACGCUCAUGUCGGGCCACAGGUGCCGUUUGUGAGCAACGUAGGCGACACAGUGCCGCAGCCUUGCCGGUGGCAUGAACACUCCCUGAUGUCUCCGUGCAGCCGGAUGCUCCACAUUGAAAAUUGGUUGGCCAAGAUGUCCAGCAGGAUCCUGAGCAGCGUGCUCACUGGAAGUGGCAAAGAUGGCGACGAUCUCCAGACCAUGGACUUCGAACGAGAAAUCCAUCGAUCGGAAGCAACCUGGUCCGAGACCGCCGACCCAAGCUGCAGAGGUUCAGCUGCAACGCCAGGUGGCGAACCUGCGUCAGAGCGGCCACAUUUACCGCCACGACGACGUGGCCGUUCGAACCAUUGCUGAAAAUUAUGACGAACGCGUGUUUACGCACACACAAAAAUAAAGUCUCACAACACCGCUGGCCAUCAGGCCGGAAGACGACGACGACGGCGGCGGCGGCGUAUAGCAUCCAGGACGUGCCAGACGACUCGCACUUCAGAUGCCACUAGUCGAACUAACUAUAAGUCUUUGCGGGGUACAUCCUGAAUAGCCUAAGUAUAGCUUGGGCGGGGUCAUCGAAAAAGAGCACCGAUAACACGGCGCCUUAACGAGUUAUCGAGUUGGCAAAGGCAGACGAAAGACAAGGAGUGGAAUGGUGGUGGAUGGCAUGAAUAUCUUAAGGGACGAAAAACCACGUGCGACUGAAAAAUUUGGCGGAGAUGUUCGCAGUACCGCAUGCUGUUUGCGCACUGUUUUUCCCCAAGCCACUAAGGUGCUUCGGUACCCUUUUAACACUGUAAUGCCUGUAUACUGCACUGCUUGAGAUUCCGAAAUUCAAAUUUGAGCAGCUGAACCAGAAGUAGCGAUAUGAAUUCGCUGUCGAGCUAAGUGUCUGUUUUGAACAGCUUGGGAAUAGAGUUGCUAACUACAGUGCUAAGUAACUUUGCUCACAAAUUCUAUCUCCAGCACAAAUUUGCACUCCAUGGCGUGUAAUGGAGAAAAUUCUGCGUACGUGCAAGCGUGCUCGAGCAUUGCAGGGUUUAAAUACUCCCCCAAUACUGUUCGUUUCAGUGCUGUUGGAUGAUUCGAACAGCAAGUUCGUCAGUGUUCAAAAACUGCAGCAGUUGGCGACGAAGCCUGGAGUGAGCUUCUGCAAUAUUCACAGAGCAUCUUGAAGGCGUACCACAGGUUAAGUACAUAAAAUUUCCGGAUGGCUUAUCACGCGCCCCCAUAACUGGCGCCCGUGUAUUGUGUUGCAGGAAGAGUUUUUCGUGACGUUAGCAUUUUGCGGAGGUUAAGCAAUCGCUGUAUAAGAAGGAAGAGCCACUUGAAUACUGGUGUAAUUUGGGGCUUUUUUUUUGUUUCUCAGUUCUAUCUUGUGCUUUCCCUCGGUGGCUCCGCCCUCUUUUUUUUUUUUUUUUCUCUCGUACUGAAUAGCUGGUCGCACCUCUUAGCCUAAGACUUUCUUAAAGCUGUUCCAAAUAUUCUGCAUCCAGAGUAGCGAUUUUCCUCUCUUGCAUGUACCUCCUUCUUUCGGCUGUUACGGUUUUCUGUAUUUAGGAGUCGCCGCUAAGACUUUCUGAAACUGUCCUCAUGUCGUUGCCAUCGUUAAUUCGUACGUGGGUACUUGCGAUAUGGAAUAACAGCUACUGCGAAUCAUACGCAUAACUGAUCUAUUCGAUGUCAUUUUUUUAUGUUGCGAAAUUCCGCAGCGUAUUCUUCAUUCCGGCAUUUUUCGCGGUAGUCAUUUUUCGCGGUAGAAGAUUCGUUGGCUUAUAGCAACGUAGACGUCGCUGGCUAGCCGGUAACAAGAACGCUUACUGUGGACUCCGUGCAGCCGGAUGCUCCACAUUGAAUAUCGGUUGGCCAGGAUGUCGAGCAGGGUUGAACCGCCUUGCUCUGCAUUUUUCUUGCUCUGCAGCUAUGAACGCACGUAGUACACAUCCAAACAUUGAUGACUGCUGGCGUUACUGAACUGUAGUUCGCGAUUAGUGGUGGUAUUACUACUACACUCAGAGUAUUCGUACUGUUCGCCUUGCAUGUGACGCAGUACAACCCUCAAAUUGCACCUACGGCAGUCUCCUCUUGAUUUCGUUUGUGUGCGCGUGUUUUGACCCGCCCAUAGGAAUUAUUUGACUCGUGUAACGAAUGUUUACGAAUUUCUAAAUAAACUUGAAUGAAGGCCGUG